rnacentral:misc_RNA from 1 species
GUAGGUGAACCUGCGGAAGGAUCAUUAACACGUAUCCAAACGUUAAAACCCCCCUGUGAACCUUCAACACCAAUAAGGGUCCUGCAAAUAGUUUGGGGCAACCCCUAGUAAAUCAUUGUCUGAUCCAGAUUUUGAGUUAGGGGCUUCUCUGGGCACCGCGGAGCAGGUUUAGCUCUUUACGUCCCCGGCGGCUCUGAAGUGACUUCCACUGUCUGAAAGUGUCAGUGUACUUGCGUAAUCAACGGGCCGACACGGCCCUGCGACCGGGACCCUUUGAGCGGCUAAAACGGCUCCAACCAGAUGAAAUCUGGCAUGACAUGAGAGACGGCCGGCGCCGAAAGAUUGUAGCCGCUUAAAAACGAACAACUUUUAACAGUGGAUAUCUUGGCUC